GGUAAAAUGGCUGAAAUUUAGGCAAUAAACUGUAAAUUUAUUUAUGAAAUUAUAAAUUUCUUUUACCA
rnacentral:tRNA from 1 species